UCGAGAAUCAUUCACAAUGGGGGAAACCCUGAUGGUGCGACGCCGCGUGGGGGAAUGAAGGUCUUCGGAUUGUAAACCCCUGUCAUGUGGAAGCAAAUUAAAAAGAUAGUACCACAAGAGGAAGAGACGGCUAACUCUGUGCCAGCAGCCGCGGUAAUACAGAGGUCUCAAGCGUUGUUCGGAAUCACUGGGCGUAAAGCGUGCGUAGGCGGUUUCGUAAGUCGUGUGUGAAAGGCGGGGGCUCAACCCCCGGACUGCACAUGAUACUGCGAGACUAGAGUAAUGGAGGGGGAACCGGAAUUCUCGGUGUAGCAGUGAAAUGCGUAGAUAUCGAGAGGAACACUCGUGGCGAAGGCGGGUUCCUGGACAUUAACUGACGCUGAGGCACGAAGGCCAGGGGAGCGAAAGGG
rnacentral:rRNA from 1 species